CCCGCACAAGCGGUGGAGCAUGUGGUUUAAUCGAUGCAACGCGGAGUAACCUUACCUGGGCUUGACAUCCCGGGAAUCCCUUGGAAACAAGGGAGUGCCCUUCGGGGAACCUGGAGACAGGUGCUGCAUGGCUGUCGUCAGCUCGUGUCGUGAGAUGUUGGGUUAAGUCCCGCAACGAGCGCAACCCUCGUCCUAUGUUGCCAGCGGGUCAUGCCGGGGACUCAUGGGAGACUGCCGGGGUCAACUCGGAGGAAGGUGGGGAUGACGUCAAAUCAUCAUGCCCCUUAUGUCUUGGGCUUCACGCAUGCUACAAUGGCCGGUACAAAGGGCUGCGAUACCGCGAGGUGGAGCGAAUCCCAGAAAGCCGGUCUCAGUUCGGAUUGGGGUCUGCAACUCGACCCCAUGAAGUCGGAGUCGCUAGUAAUCGCAGAUCAGCAACGCUGCGGUGAAUACGUUCCCGGGCCUU
rnacentral:rRNA from 1 species